CACACCCACAGCCUAUGUCCUCCUCCCUCGGGCACCGGCAGAGCACCGAUACCAUCAACAGCGCUCAGUACAGUUGUCCAGAAAACACCAAUGCGAGAAAAACGAAAGAAACCCACCCUAUUCAGCCAAGGAAGCACCACUGGGGAACCUAGGUUUUCUAACACACACGCAUACACAACAGGCACACAUACACACCCUUGUUAGACAAGAGAGUUGAGUUCAAAGAUAUAAUAGAUGCACAAUGGAUAACUGAGUGCUGGAGAAUGUCAUCCGCUUAAACAAUACUUUGAAAUUGUUUCAGCCUGAAGACAGCUUUCUGGGUUGCUCCCUGAAAAAUCAUACCUAAGAAAAAUAAAAUCUUCUCAUUGAUCCUGCUUUCCUUUUACUUUCUCAUAAUGUCCCAAUAUGUUGAAGCAGAAAUCAGAAUAGAUAGUAUUGACAAGAAAUGUAUCCUUUAAAAGUCAAAUUUGUCCUUUAAAUUGGCUCUUCUCAUAAAGCAGCUGUUGAAGCUUUUUCUCCAGUAACAAAGAAUCUUUGCUCAAUUCUUC
rnacentral:lncRNA from 1 species